rnacentral:misc_RNA from 1 species
CAUUGCCAGAAGAAGUUAUUGGUGUAAGUCCUCUACACAGAUUCAGAUUUGUACUUAACUCAUUAUCAUGUAUUAUUGGAUUUUAUUUAUUUUGCUUUAAAAUUUAAGAACAUUGUCAAUUCUAAGUUCACCAUAUAUCAUUCUUAGAUGACUGUUAAUUCUAACCUAUGCCAUGUCCUGCAUAACCGAAAUGGAUAUCCUUUUAUUCUGUGGAUGAAUAUGAUAAAAAUUAGAGUCUUCUUAUUUAGUUUCUCCACCAUGUUGCAUAAGUGCAGGACAUUGCAGAACAUCUGACAACA